rnacentral:rRNA from 1 species
UAGGGAAUCUUCCGCAAUGGACGAAAGUCUGACGGAGCAACGCCGCGUGAGCGAUGAAGGCCUUCGGGUCGUAAAGCUCUGUUGUUAGGGAAGAACAAGUAUCGGAGUAACUGCCGGUACCUUGACGGUACCUGACCAGAAAGCCACGGCUAACUACGUGCCAGCAGCCGCGGUAAUACGUAGGUGGCAAGCGUUGUCCGGAAUUAUUGGGCGUAAAGCGCGCGCAGGCGGUUUCUUAAGUCUGAUGUGAAAGCCCCCGGCUCAACCGGGGAGGGUCAUUUGGAAACUGGGGAACUUGAGUGCAGAAGAGGAGAGCGGAAUUCCACGUGUAGCGGUGAAAUGCGUAGAGAUGUGGAGGAACACCAGUGGCGAAGGCGGCUCUCUGGUCUGUAACUGACGCUGAGGCGCGAAAGCGUGGGGAGCGAACAGGAUUAGAUACCCGUGGUAUCCACGCCGUAAACGAUGAGUGCUAAGUGUUAGAGGGUUU